ACUCACGUAUUCUCGCGAGAUAAAUCAAAAUGAGCAAAACGGAAGCCGCCGGUGACCAGAUUUAAGUCAGCGUGCUGGUUUGAACAAGAACCGCUGCGAGGGACAACAAGGCAGGAGAGCGGCCCAGCAUUCAUUUUCCAACGUGAAAGGCAAUAUUGAUGGAGUGGCAGCCAGAUGAGCAGGGACUUCAGCAGGUCCUCCAGCUGCUCAAGGACUCGCAGUCUCCCGACACAGCAACACAGAGAGCCGUCCAACAAAAACUUGAACAACUGAACCAGUUUCCUGACUUCAACAACUAUCUCAUCUUUGUCCUUACGAGACUCAAAACAGAAGACGAGCCAACCCGCUCCCUAAGUGGUCUGAUCCUGAAAAACAAUGUUAAGGCCCAUUACCAGAACUUCCCGCCAACUGUCGCAGACUUCAUAAAGCAGGAAUGUGUCAACAACAUUGGCGACCCCUCGCCACUCAUCCGUGCCACAAUUGGCAUCCUGAUUACAACUAUUUCAUCCAAGGGAGAACUACAGUCAUGGCCUGAUUUGCUGCCUCAGCUCUGCAACCUUCUCAACUCCGAGGAUUACAACACAUGCGAGGGAUCAUUUGGAGCACUGCAGAAGAUAUGCGAGGACUCGUCCGAGCUGCUGGACAGCGACGCUCUGAACAGACCACUAAAUAUCAUGAUACCCAAAUUCCUUCAGUUCUUCAAGCACUGCAACUCAAAAAUUAGAUCCCACGCCAUUGCCUGUGUGAACCAAUUCAUCAUCGGCAGAGCCCAGGCACUAAUGGAUAACAUUGACACCUUCAUAGAGAGCCUCUUUGUGCUGGCAGCAGACGAGGACUCUGAAGUCCGAAAGAAUGUUUGCCGAGCUCUAGUCAUGCUUCUGGAGGUCCGCAUUGACCGGCUCAUCCCCCACAUGCACAGCAUCAUCCAGUACAUGCUGCAGCGGACCCAAGACCCAGAUGAGAAUGUAGCUCUCGAAGCCUGUGAAUUUUGGUUGACUCUUGCAGAGCAGCCCAUCUGCAAGGAGAUGCUCUCAGGACACUUGAUGCAACUGAUCCCCAUCUUGGUAAACGGGAUGAAGUAUUCAGAGAUAGACAUCAUACUGUUGAAGGGAGAUGUUGAGGAAGAUGAAGCUGUACCAGACAGCGAUCAGGACAUCAAGCCUCGUUUCCACAAGUCACGCACUGUCACGUUGCAGCACGAAGGUUUAGAGGGAGGGGACAGCGAGGACAUUGACGAUGAUGACGACGAUGAUGACGAUGACACAUUGUCUGACUGGAAUUUGCGAAAGUGUUCAGCAGCCGCUUUGGACGUACUUGCCAACGUAUUUCGUGAUGAGCUGUUGCCCCAUCUGCUGCCACUUCUGAAAGGCCUGCUUUUUCAUCCUGACUGGGUUGUCAAAGAGUCCGGCAUCCUUGUAUUAGGGGCGAUUGCAGAGGGCUGCAUGCAAGGCAUGGUUCAAUACCUGCCAGAGCUCAUCCCCCACCUCAUCCAAUGUCUGUGUGACAAGAAGGCCCUGGUGCGCUCUAUUGCCUGCUGGACCCUAAGUCGUUAUGCACAUUGGGUGGUCUCCCAGCCCCCUGACUCCUACCUCAAGCCUCUGAUGACUGAGCUUCUCAAACGCAUUCUGGAUGGCAAUAAAAGGGUGCAAGAAGCUGCAUGCAGUGCAUUUGCCACCUUGGAGGAGGAGGCGUGCACAGAGCUUGUUCCAUAUUUGAGCUUCAUCUUGGACACUCUGGUCUUUGCCUUUGGAAAGUACCAGCACAAGAACCUCCUCAUCCUCUACGAUGCCAUUGGAACGCUGGCGGACUCAGUGGGUCACCACCUAAAUCAACCUGAGUACAUUCAGAAGUUGAUGCCUCCUCUUAUUGCAAAGUGGAAUGAGCUGAAGGAUGAAGACAAGGAUCUCUUUCCUCUUUUGGAGUGUUUGUCUUCAGUGGCCACUGCACUGCAGAGUGGGUUCUUGCCUUACUGUGAGCCAGUCUACCAGCGCUGUGUCACACUAGUCCAGAAGACAUUAGCUCAGGCUAUGAUGUUCAGCCAGCAUCCGGAGCAAUACGAGGCUCCUGACAAGGAUUUUAUGAUCGUGGCCCUAGACUUGCUCAGUGGUCUUGCGGAGGGUUUGGGUAGUCAUGUGGAGCAGCUUGUGGCCCGGUCCAAUAUCAUGACACUGCUUUUCCAGUGCAUGCAGGACACUAUGCCCGAAGUAAGGCAAAGCUCCUUUGCCCUGUUAGGAGAUUUAACUAAGGUCUGCUUCCUCCACGUUAAACCCUGCAUCGCUGAGUUCAUGCCUAUUCUGGGACUUAAUUUGAACCCAGAGUUUAUCUCCGUAUGUAACAAUGCCACCUGGGCCAUUGGCGAAAUCGCUAUGCAAAUGGGUGCAGACAUGCAGCCUUAUGUAGGAGUGGUAUUGCCACACUUGGUGGAGAUCAUCAAUAGACCCAACACACCCAAAACUCUGCUGGAAAACACAGCCAUUACAAUAGGCAGACUGGGCUACGUAUGUCCUCAGGAAGUCGCGCCACAGCUUCAGCAUUUCAUUAGGCCUUGGUGUACAUCGUUGAGGAACAUCAGAGAUAAUGAAGAGAAAGAUUCAGCUUUCCGCGGAAUCUGUGUGAUGAUCGGUGUCAACCCAGCCGGUGUUGUGCAGGACUUCAUUUUCUUUUGUGAUGCUGUGGCAUCCUGGGUCAGCCCUAAAGAUGACCUAAGAGACAUGUUUUACAAGAUCCUGCAUGGCUUCAAGGACCAGGUCAGCCAAGAGAACUGGCAGCAGUUCUGAACAGUUCCUUUGUUGAAGGAGCACUGGUCUGCAUUCUAUGGCGUUUGGCGCAAGUCCACAACAGACCUGUUCGGUAACUAUACGGGAGGGUCACUGGGGAACUCUGCCCACUGUGGCAUCCUGGGUCGGCCCCAAAGAUGACCUGAGCGACAUGUUUUAUAAGAUCCUGCAUGGCUUCAAGGACCAGGUCAGCCAAGAGAACUGGCAGCAGUUCUGAACAGUUCCUUUGUUGAAGGAGCACUGGUCUGCAUUCUAUGGCGUUUGGCGCAAGUCCACAACAGACCUGUUCGGUAACUAUACGGGAGGGUCACUGGGGAACUCUGCCCACUGUGGCAUCCUGGGUCGGCCCCAAAGAUGACCUGAGCGACAUGUUUUAUAAGAUCCUGCAUGGCUUCAAGGACCAGGUCGGCCAAGAGAACUGGCAGCAGUUCUGAACAGUUCCUUCCUUUCUUGAAGGAGCACUUGUCGGCAUUCUAUGGCGUUUGGCGAAGUCCACAACAGACCUGUUCGGUAACCAUAGGGGAGGGUCACUGGAAACUCUGCCAUCUGUGGCCUCCUGGGUCAGCCCUAAAGAUGACCUGAGAGACAUGUUUUAUAAGAUCCUGCAUGGCUUCAAGGACCAGGUCGGCCAAAAGAACUGGCAGCAGUUCUGAACAGUUCCUUCCUUUGUUGAAGGAGCACUUGUCUGCAUUCUAUGGCGUUUGGCGCAAGUCCACAACAGACCUGUUCGGUAACCAUAGGGGAGGGUCACUGGGAACUCUGCCCUCUGUGGCAUCCUGGGUCAGCCCUAAAAAUGACCUGAGAGACAUGUUUUUAUAAGAUCCUGCAUGGCAUCAAGGACCAGGUCGGCCAAGAGAACUGGCAGCAGUUCUGAACAGUUCCUUCCUUUGUUGAAGGAGCACUUGUCGGCAUUCUAUGGCGUUUGGCGAAGUCCACAACAGACCUUUUCGGUAACCAUAGGGGAGGGUCACUGGGGAACUCUGCCCUCUGUGGCAUCCUGGGUCAGCCCUAAAGAUGACCUGAGAGACAUGUUUUUUAAGAUCCUGCAUGGCAUCAAGGACCAGGUCGGCCAAGAGAACUGGCAGCAGUUCUGAACAGUUCCUUUGUUGAAGGAGCGCUUGUCGGCAUUCUAUGGCGUUUGGCGAAGUCCACAACAGACCUGUUCGGUAACUAUAGGGGAGGGUCUCUGAGGAACUCUGCCCACUGUGGCAUCCUGGGUCGGCCCCAAAGAUGACCUGAGACAUGUUUUUAUAAGAUCCUGCAUGGCAUCAAGGACCAGGUCUGGCAGCAGUUCUCAACAGUUCCUUCCUUUGUUGAAGGAGCACUUGUCAGCAUGCUAUGGCGUUUGGCGAAUCCCACAACAGACCUUUUCGGUAACCAUAGGGGAGGGUCACUGGGAACUCUGCCCUCUGUGGCAUCCUGUGUCGGCCCUAAAGAUGACCUGAGAGACAUGUUUUAUUUGAUCCUGCAUGGCAUCAAGGACCAGGUCGGCCAAGAGAUCUGGCAGCACUUCUGAACAGUUCCUUCCUUUGUUGAAGGAGCGCUUGUCGGCAUUCUAUGGCGUUUGGCGAAGUCCACAACAGACCUCUUCGGUAACCAUAGGGGAGGGUCACUGGGAAACUCAUUCACUGCCCAGCGUAGCGGGACAAACCAUGCAGAGGCAACAUGACGAGCCUCCACUUGGCAAAGGGUCUUCUCCCCCCUUUCCCUGUGCCCUGUGACUGUUUGGUUUGGCUUCAACCUUUCUCCUCUCUUCCCAGUAGGCCUCAUCAGUUGGCUAGUGAGACUGGUUGCAGCUGUGGUCCAUAAUGACUCAAAUGUACCUAUAUUUUUUCACUUCUGGAAAUGUUUGCAGCUUUAUUGGGUAGAUAAAUGUCAGAUCAUAUUAUAUUGCCUCUAUUCCCCUCUGCUCUCUGCUGUCUGGCAGAGACCAGUGGUCCCUACCUCUAGGAGUUAUAAUGAGAUAGGUUAGGUUAGACCAGACCAGACUCUUGCCAGAUCUUUGUCGUUUGCCGAGCUCCACACAUUGGAUCUGGGAGUUCUCAAUAGAUGUAUUUCAGAAAGCCUUGUAAAAAAUAAUAUAUAUGUUUGAUUUAAAUGUUAAACUGUGUAUAUGAGACGUGUGCUACAUAUAUGUUGCUUAUAUAUUGUUUAAAAAAAAAAGUAAUAUAAGUGAAGCAUGUUUUAGAUUUUAUAUAUUUUGAACCUUAUUCUUGUUGUGAUGAGGUAGGUUUAUAUAAGCGUUGCUUCAACCUACGCCCUUUCGGCUCAAUCAUUGCUCAAAUGAGUGUUUUUUUUUCUUUUUUUGUUGUUCUUUGAUUUAUGAGAAGAUUGCCGAAAUAAAAUACAUUGAUUGAUUGAAUAAA